rnacentral:rRNA from 1 species
CCUACGGGGUGCUGCAGUGGGGAAUAUUGGACAAUGGGGGCAACCCUGAUCCAGCCAUGCCGCGUGUGUGAAGAAGGCCCUCGGGUUGUAAAGCACUUUCAGUGAGGAAGAACGCCUGGUGGUUAAUACCCAUCAGGAAAGACAUCACUCACAGAAGAAGCACCGGCUAACUCCGUGCCAGCAGCCGCGGUAAUACGGAGGGUGCGAGCGUUAAUCGGAAUUACUGGGCGUAAAGCGCGCGUAGGUGGCUUGAUAAGCCGGUUGUGAAAGCCCCGGGCUCAACCUGGGAACGGCAUCCGGAACUGUCAAGCUAGAGUGCAGGAGAGGAAGGUAGAAUUCCCGGUGUAGCGGUGAAAUGCGUAGAGAUCGGGAGGAAUACCAGUGGCGAAGGCGGCCUUCUGGACUGACACUGACACUGAGGUGCGAAAGCGUGGGUAGCAAUCAGGAUUAGAUACCCUAGUAGUC